GCAAUUGGUGAUCUACAAUCAUUCAAUUACACUGACGAUUGUAGUUAGGAAUUGUGGCCGCUACAAUCGCUCAUUCGUGUCUGAAACGAAAAAUGGCAUCGAAAAAAUGCCAAGAAAUAUUAAUAUUGGCAACUGCGGGAGCAAGAAUUGAUUGUGAUAAUUAUUAUGCUCCUUGCAAGUAAAUGUACCAACAAGAGAAUUUGGACGCAUCGAUGGAUAGCAAGAAGAAAGGAAAAAGGAUUAUAUCAUAACUUUUUCUUGGAACUCAGUCUAGAAGAUCCUAAUAGAUUCAGGAGUGUUUACGUAUGGACACAGCAACUUUUGAAGAACUUUUAGAGAAAGUUUCUCCUGAAACUUGUUGAAAAGAAGAAUACACAUUUGAGAGAAAGCAUUUCUAUUUUAGCAGCAGAAAGACUUUCUUUAACUUUGCGGCAUUUGGCUACAGGAGAGACAGGAAUCCUUGUCAUUAACUUUUAGAAUAGGUCAAAGCACAAUAUCUGGCAUCAUAAAAGAAGUAUGUCGAGCUAUCAUUACUGUAUUAUAAAGGAAGAAUAUUUAAAAGCUCCUUCUAUUGAAAUGAAGUGGCAAGAAAUUGCACGAAAUUUUGGUGAACUAUAGCAAUUUGAAAAUUGUAUAGGUGUAAUUGACGGGAAACACUGUAGAAUUGACCCACCACUUAGAUCAGGGUCACUUUAUUAUUGUUACAAGGAUUUCUUCAGUAUUGUUUCAAUGGCAGUUGUCGAUGCUUAUCUACGCUUUAUAUACGUUGAUAUUGGGACAAAUGGACGAAUAGUGAUUCGGGUGUAUGGAAUAAAUGUACUCUCAAAGCUCGUUUAGAAAGCAACAGCCUUCAUAUUCUGGAUCCAUCUUCAUUAUCGGGCACAAGAGAAAUGUUUCCUUAUGUAUUAAUAGGUGAUGAAGGUUUUCCUUUAACAGAGAAACUCCUUAUACUGUAUCCUUCUCAGUGCUUUGGUAGAAAAAAAUCGUAGAAUUUUCAAUUAUAGGUAAGGUACCUUUUUAAGAAUUAAAUGUCAAAAUUCUCUUGAUUAUGAUUUUAUUGAUAAUGGAUCGAUGGUAAUACUGUAUUAUACAUUUGCCAAGAGCUAGACGUUGCUCAGAAAAUGCUUUUGGUAAUUUUGGAGCCAGAUUCCUUUAUAUCGAAGUGCAAUGAGAUAUGAUUCAGAUGAUGGUGAAAAGAUAAUAAUGGCAACUUGCUGUCUCCACAAUAUGUUACGGAGUAAAGUUGUUGGCAGGGCCAUGUAUACACUUCCAUCAUUUAUUGAUGAAGAAGAUAUAAUGUCAGGUGAAAUCAGACCGGGCGAUUUCCGGGAAGAGUCAGCAAAUGGUUUAAUAAAUCUGGGUAAUCAAGGAGGAAACAGGCACGCAAAUUCUAUUUUUCUAAGAAAUAAAUGGUGCGACUAUUUUAAUGCAGUACCAUGGCAAGAGCAUAUGGUGCGAUAAAAAAAUUGUAACAUUAUUUAUACGUUCUUUAAAAAUAUAUCUUUUAUAGCUACUAUCAGAAAAAAUACACAUGAGAAUAAUACACAGUAUAAAAUACAAGUAAUAGACUAUAUUAAUACAGAGAGAA
rnacentral:lncRNA from 1 species